rnacentral:rRNA from 1 species
GAGUCCUGGCUCAGGAUGAACGCUAGCUACAGGCUUAACACAUGCAAGUCGAGGGGAAACGGCAUCGAAAGCUUGCUUUUGAUGGGCGUCGACCGGCGCACGGGUGAGUAACGCGUAUCCAACCUGCCCACCACUUGGGGGAUAACCUUGCGAAAGUAAGACUAAUACCCAAUGACAUCCCACGAAGACAUCUGAAUGGGAUUAAAGAUUUAUCGGUGAUGGAUGGGGAUGCGUCUGAUUAG